UCUCACAAGUGUACACUUGGAGAAUGUGCUAAAGUUGAUGGACAUAGGUAAAUAUAUUGCAUUUGUGACUCAGAGAUAGUUGAGGUUAUUUGCAUAUUAUGCAGUAUAUAAGGAGGAAGGGAAGGAAAGAUCAGAAAGAGAGUUCAACACAGAAAGAAGAAAUCAAAUAAAGUGUCCAGGAAAACAAAGGAAAGAUGAAAGCUGUUUGUUUUUCUCUCCUCUUACUGUUGGCAUGUAGCUUUGGAGAGGCGCUGAAAUGCAACAACUGUAUUGUCAAAGGCUGCAGAAACACAGUGGAGACCUGCCGUCCUGAUUUUGAUGCCUGCAUCAGUGCCAUUUUCUUGCCCCCAGCCCCUCCAUUAUUCUUCAGGAGAUGCAUCAACAAGUCCGACUGUCUUCUGCUGGCAGGAACACCAGUCAUUAAUGCCCAAUGCUGUUACACUGACCGGUGCAACUAAAACAGUAAAAUCCUAUACGUCCUAUGCUGUGCUGAGCCGAACAUUCCAAAUCAAUGCACAUUAUUGUGACUGUGGAAAAAAAUUAAAUAAUACAUAGCCUAAACGUG